rnacentral:misc_RNA from 1 species
GGUCUCAAAAUCUAUUACUUGAAAUCAAAAUUGAAAAGCUCCCACCUGAUUGCAACCCUAUCAUAAAUAAAUAUUAGGAGGAAGUGUGCAACAUAAGGUGUCUUAAGCCUCAGUAAUUGGGUACUCAAAAACAACGUCUUUUCCAGAAAGCUUCCUGUAAACGGCAGCAAAGCUCUCCAAUUUGUACUCAGUGUUAUUCCGUUCUUUAGGAUCCAAGAAGACCUUCAUGAUCUUUGAUCCAUCAACUCUGUAUCUAACACGCUUUCCAACAAUCUCAGCAGGCAAUACAACAUCCUCAAGCAUAGCCUCGUGAACAGAAGUGAGGGUACGGGUACGGGGCCUCUGAGCUGCCGAUCCUUUCUUUGGUGGCCUCAAAAUCCUCCUAGUAGCUAUCAGAAUUACGUCCUUCCCGCUAAAUUUCUUUUCAAGCUCUCUAACAAGCCGCAGGUGAAUCUUGCGGAAGGCCUUCCUCAAUCUGUAUGGGACAUAGACCACAACUGCCUUGCGGUUUCCAGAAACAUCAACUUGGAUUGCAGAAUUAAUGUAAAGAUCCUUCAGGUCA